ACGACAACGACGCACUCACUCUCUUCUAAAGCCGAAUAAUCGCGAUUUGUUGUUCAUUCAAUCUUAUUUGAUUAAUCAGUGAUUAUUGAAGGGUUGAUCCCUGAGAUAAUUAGGCCGUUUGUCAAGAGAAUGAGAAAUUGUUGAAUUAUGAAAGAGUGGUUUGAGUGUAGAGCCUCAGUUACAUUAGUGAAAAGAAAACUACAAUUGGAUUAUAAAUUCCAAACAUUGACCCGCUUGAUACAAAGAGAUCAUAAACUACUUCUGAAGAUAUUCUUGAAGUAGUGGGAAAAGAAGCGCAGGCCCACGAAUAAAAAAUGCUCCUUCCCUAAGAGUAUGACAUCCUUAGCAAACUAAAGAGUGAGACAAUCCAAAUGAAACAGCAGAUGAAAAACAUGUCCCGUCCUGCAGGAUUUUCCAUCGUCCUUCGGACAUCGUUAUAGUCUCCUUCCCUAAGAGUACGGCAUCCUCAGCAAGUAAAAGAGUGAGACAAUCCGAAUGAAACAGCAGAUGAGACACAUAUCCCUUCCCGCAAGAUUUUCCAUCGUCCUUCGGACAUCGUACCAGUGCGAGUAACCCCCCAAAACCGAUGGGGGUUUAGGUGGAAAUAGAAGGUGUACACCGAGGAGUGGGGAAGAUAUUCAUUGAGUGGGGGAAAGAAGCGCCCGGUAUCUCGAAAUUUGGUUGGCUGUCUCGAGCGGGCUUUACUUUACCGUACGCCUCAGCGGCGAGAGAGCGAGAGAGACCGAGCCGGGGGGUCCAGAAGUACGGCAUGGUGGGGAGCCGAGGGGGGUGCUGUAGAACCUGAGCGAGUCGGCAAGUGAAGGAGGACGUUAAGGCGAAGAAGGUGGGGAGCAGAACGGACCAAGCGCGCCGCGGCGGAGGGGUAACAAAAGCGUUCGAAGGGCGGGGGGGGCAAGCAA